GAUGAACGCUGGCGGCGUGCCUAAUACAUGCAAGUCGAGCGAACUGAUUAGAAGCUUGCUUCUAUGACGUUAGCGGCGGACGGGUGAGUAACACGUGGGCAACCUGCCUGUAAGACUGGGAUAACUUCGGGAAACCGAAGCUAAUACCGGAUAGGAUCUUCUCCUUCAUGGGAGAUGAUUGAAAGAUGGUUUCGGCUAUCACUUACAGAUGGGCCCGCGGUGCAUUAGCUAGUUGGUGAGGUAACGGCUCACCAAGGCAACGAUGCAUAGCCAACCAGAGAGGGUGAUCGGCCACCCUGGGACUGAGCCACGGCCCAGACGCCUACGGGAGGCAGCAGUAGGGAAUCUUCCGCAAUGGACGCAAGUCUGACGGGGCAACGCCGCGUGAGUGAUAAAGGCUUUCGGGUCGUAAAACUCUGUUGUUAGGGAAGAACAAGUACGAGAGUAACUGCUCGUACCUUGACGGUACCUAACCAGAAAGCCACGGCUAACUACGUGCCAGCCGCCGCAGUAA
rnacentral:rRNA from 1 species